rnacentral:rRNA from 1 species
UACGGGGGGGGCAAGCGUUGUUCGGAAUUACUGGGCGUAACGGGCUCGUAGGCGGCCAACUAAGUCGGAUGUGAAAUCCCCAGGCUCAACCUGGGAACUGCAUCCGAUACUGGAUGGCUUGAAUUCGGGAGAGGGAUGCAGAAUUCCAGGUGUAGCGGUGAAAUGCGUAGAUAUCUGGAGGAAUACCGGUGGCGAAGGCGGCAUCCUGGACCGACAUUGACGCUGAGGAGCGAAAGCUAGGGGAGCAAACGGG